rnacentral:rRNA from 1 species
AUUGAACGCUGGCGGCAGGCUUAACACAUGCAAGUCGAGCGGAGAGAGGUAGCUUGCUACUGAUCUUAGCGGCGGACGGGUGAGUAAUGCUUAGGAAUCUGCCUAUUAGUGGGGGACAACAUUUCGAAAGGAAUGCUAAUACCGCAUACGUCCUACGGGAGAAAGCAGGGGAUCUUCGGACCUUGCGCUAAUAGAUGAGCCUAAGUCGGAUUAGCUAGUUGGUGGGGUAAAGACCUACCAAGGCGACGAUCUGUAGCGGGUCUGAGAGGAUGAUCCGCCACACUGGGACUGAGACACGGCCCAGACUCCUACGGGAGGCAGCAGUGGGGAAUAUUGGACGAUGGGCGCAAGCCUGAUCCAGCCAUGCCGCGUGUGUGAAGAAGGCCUUAUGGUUGUAAAGCACUUUAAGCGAGGAGGAGGCUACUUUAGUUAAUACCUAGAGAUAGUGGACGUUACUCGCAGAAUAAGCACCGGCUAACUCUGUGCCAGCCGCCGCCGUAAAAC